AGAUUGAACGCUGGCGGCAUGCCUAACACAUGCAAGUCGAACGGGAGUAGCAAUACUCUAGUGGCGGACGGGUGAGGAAUACGUAGGAAUUUGCCCUUAAGUGGGGGAUAACCCGGGGAAACCCGGAUUAAUACCGCAUGACCUCGAAAGAGACAAAGUGGGGGAUCGCAAGACCUCACGCUUUUGGAGAAGCCUACGUCGGAUUAGCUAGUUGGUGAGGUAAUGGCUCACCGAAGGCGACGAUCCGUAACUGGUCUGAGAGGAUGAUCAGUCACACCGGAACUGAGACACGGUCCGACUCCUACGGGAGGCAGCAGUGGGGAAUAUGGACAAUGGGCACAAGCCUGAUCCGAGCAA
rnacentral:rRNA from 1 species